rnacentral:rRNA from 1 species
GUGGGGAAUUUUGGACAAUGGGCGCAAGCCUGAUCCAGCAAUGCCACGUGUGUGAAGAAGGCCUUCGGGUUGUAAAGCACUUUUGGCAGGAAAGAAAUAGCGCGUGCUAAUACCAUGCGCGAAUGACGGUACCUGCAGAAUAAGCACCGGCUAACUACGUGCCAGCAGCCGCGGUAAGACGUAGGGUGCAAGCGUUAAUCGGAAUUACUGGACGUAAAGCGUGCGCAGGCGGUUUUGUAAGACAGGUGUGAAAUCCCCGGGCUCAACCUGGGAACUGCACUUGUGACUGCAAGGCUAGAGUGUGUCAGAGGGAGGUGGAAUUCCGCGUGUAGCAGUGAAAUGCGUAGAGAUGCGGAGGAACACCGAUGGCGAAGGCAGCCUCCUGGGAUAACACUGACGCUCAGGCACGAAAGCGUGGGGAGCAAAUAGGAUUAGAUACCCCAGUAGUCC